AAUGAACGCUGGCGGCAUGCCUAACACAUGCAAGUCGAACGAAGGCUUCGGCCUUAGUGGCGCACGGGUGCGUAACGCGUGGGAAUCUGCCCUUGGGUUCGGAAUAACAGUUAGAAAUGACUGCUAAUACCGGAUGAUGUCGUGAGAUCAAAGAUUUAUCGCCCAAGGAUGAGCCCGCGUAGGAUUAGCUAGUUGGUGGGGUAAAGGCCCAUCAAGGCGAAGAUCCUUAGCUGGUGUGAGAGGAUGAUCAGCCACACUGGGACGGAGACACGGCCCGGACUCCUACGGGAGGCAGCAGUGGGUAAUAUUGGACAAUGGGCGAAAGCCUGAUCCAGCAAUGCCGCGUGAGUGAUGAAGGCCUUAGAGUUGUAAAGCUCGUUUACCCGGGAUGAUAAUGACAGUACCUGGAGAAUAAGCUCCGGCUAACUCCGUGCCAGCAGCCGCAGUAACAC
rnacentral:rRNA from 1 species